rnacentral:rRNA from 1 species
GGGGAAUUUUGGACAAUGGGCGAAAGCCUGAUCCAGCCAUGCCGCGUGAGUGAAGAAGGCCUUCGGGUUGUAAAGCUCUUUUAGUCGGAAAGAAAGAGUUGCAAUGAAUAAUUGUGAUUUAUGACGGUACCGACAGAAAAAGCACCGGCUAACUACGUGCCAGCAGCCGCGGUAAUACGUAGGGUGCGAGCGUUAAUCGGAAUUACUGGGCGUAAAGGGUGCGCAGGCGGUCUUGCAAGUCAGAUGUGAAAGCCCCGGGCUUAACCUGGGAAUUGCGUUUGAAACUACAAGGCUAGAGUGCAGCAGAGGGGAGUGGAAUUCCAUGUGUAGCAGUGAAAUGCGUAGAGAUGUGGAAGAACACCGAUGGCGAAGGCAGCUCCCUGGGUUGACACUGACGCUCAUGCACGAAAGCGUGGGGAGCAAACA